rnacentral:rRNA from 1 species
GUGUGUGGGAUUAUCUCUUGUUGAUGUUGUACGAUCUCAGAAGUUAAGCAAAGUUGGGUCUGAUUAGCAUUUGAUGGGAGACCACCUGGUAAUACCAGGUCCUAUAGGUU